rnacentral:rRNA from 1 species
AUGAUGCACAGGCAAUGGCGGGGGGCUGGCACGAGAGGAAGGAUGGGAAUCAGCUACUUGCAUUCGCAUGGAGGAGGCAAUGUCGACGCGAUGGCACAGCAGAGGAGGCUGGGCUCGUUGUGGAGCUUCUUGAGGCAGCAGGACGUCGGCGAGAGCAUCGCUGCCGGCAACGGCUCGAGUGACCUCUUGAGGAUCUUCUCCAUGAGCACCUGUGACGACACCAACUCCAACAUCAUCUUCUCAGCGCCCGGCAGCAAGAAGGCCGAGGUGCUCGGCGACAGCGAUGUCGGCAUGGUCACCAGCUUCAGCAACAUCGACUCCCAGAUUCGGUUAGCCCUCUCGAGCUGGACAUGCCCAGCAUGGACGACUACCUGCAGCUGCAGCAGGACUCCGCCGACUGCAGAGUCCACGCCAAGCGUGGCUGCACCACUGACCCGCAGAGCAUCGCUUGGGAGGGAAAGAAGAACAAGGAUCAAUAAGAGGCUAAGGAGGCUGCAAGACCUCAUUCCCUACAUGGACAAGGUCACAAGGCCAAUACACAUUCAGGAAAUAUGUGACCAACUUCCCCAAGGUCCCGCAUCGUCUACUCAGGAUAUUCUGUGCCCCAAGCCCUACAGAAUAAUGCCCAGUCUAAUUUCAGCAGUGGGCAUGACAGCCUCAAACUUCUCUCUUCAAUAUUGA